rnacentral:lncRNA from 1 species
AGCAUUCUCACCUGUUAAAUAUCAGUAGUUCGAACCUCCCUGUCUCAGCAUUCUCACCUGUUAAAUAUCAGUAGUUCCGAACCUCCCUGUCUCAGCAUCCUCACCUGUUAAAAUAUCAGUAGUUCCCGAACCUCCCUGUCUCAGCAUCCUCACCUGUUAAAUAUCAGUAGUUCCCGAACCUCCCUGUCUCAGCGUCCUCACCCAUUAAAAUAUCAGUAGGACAAGUACCAAAGUACCGCUUUGUUCCAGGAAUUCACUGGUUAACUUGCGUAACAUAUUUUAAACAGAGCCUGACAUGAGACCCAGUCCGUUUCCAGCAUCGUCCAGUAGAACUUUCUGCGGUCCCGGAGGUGUGUGAGCGGUCCCGUUACGGCAGCCACCAGCUGUGGGCUGGUGUGACCGAGGGCGUCUGAUAGGGUCUGACUGUCGCUGACUUGUAAACAUCGAUGCCACCCAGCUUCAGUCCUUUACAUCCCAGCCCAUCAUGACGUUAGUG